CAUUGAAAAUGGGGCAGCCUGUAAUUGUCCUUAUUUUAGUAGCCAACAACAGCGAUUCUGUGUCUGUCUUUCCAUUCCUUCAUUAUUACAACACGCAUUCCUUUUUGUAGUGUAUGUUGUGUGUGUGUGUUUGUGUGGAGAGCCCUAAAGCUAAUCCAUGUUUCUAUCAGUGUAUUUGGGUUUUGCGGUGUGUUUUUAAAUUUUGAAUUACGUUUAUCUAGUUGUACGGUUAGGGUUUGUUUGGGUGGUUUACGCUGCUUGCUGGGUCAAGAGGUAGCAAUGAAUCAAUCAUAUUUUUCAGCGACAGCUCAGACUUAAUAUUAAUUUGGGGAUUUUUGAUUUAAUUUGUUGGGUUGGGUUGGGUUUGGUUUGGGGCAUUCGAACAAUAAUAAUGUGGUGAAGUUGGAAGCAGGUAGGGUAUUUGGAUUCGAUUUGCAGGUGGGAAUUUUCUUCUUUGAGUUCUUCUGACACGCGAAGAAACACAAAAUGGCAAACAUGGAGUUGCAGAUGAGCCCCCAGUUGGAGCAGAUCCACGGCGAAAUUCGUGACAACUUUCGAGCUCUCGCAAAUGGCUUCCAGAAGCUGGAUAAGAUUAAAGACUCCAAUAGACAAAGUAAACAGCUGGAGGAACUUACAGGGAGGAUGAGGGAAUGUAAAAGAUUAAUCAAAGAGUUUGAUCGUGAAAUUAAAGAUGAGGAAAGUAGAAAUCCUCCUGAGGUUAACAAGCAACUUAAUGAUGAGAAGCAAUCCAUGAUCAAAGAGCUGAAUUCAUAUGUGGCCUUGAGAAAAACGUAUAUGAGCAGCCUUGGCAAUAAGAGGGUUGAACUCUUCGAUAUGGGAGCAGGCGUUAGUGAUCCUACUGCUGAUGAUAAUGUCCAAAUGGCAUCAGCAAUGUCAAACCAGGAGCUUAUUAAUGCUGGGAUGAAGACAAUGAAUGAGACUGAUCAAGCAAUCGAACGCUCCAAACAGGUUGUUGAACAAACUAUUGAAGUGGGAACCCAAACUGCCGUUACAUUGAAGGGUCAAACUGAACAAAUGGGUCGGAUUGUUAACGAGCUGGACACAAUUCAGUUCUCUAUCAAGAAAGCCUCCCAGCUUGUGAAGGAGAUUGGUGGCUACAGAUAAAUGCAUCAUGCUUUUCCUGUUUCUCAUUGUCUGUGGUGUGGUUGCUAUAAUUAUUGUUAAGAUUGUGAAUCCCAACAACAAAAGCAUCAGGGACAUCCCUGGAUUGGCUCCUCCAGCUCCCACUAGGAGAUUGUUAUAGCUGGGGAAAGUUUCAAGUGAAUUCAUCAUCUGAAAUGGGGGUAGUUAUUCCAUCAAGUCAUGCUUCACGUUGUGGGUGGAGAUGAUGGGAAAGAAGAUGAAAGUUCCGUUGGUUGUGGUCAUUUGUGGUUUUCCACAUUAAUCCAUUCUUGCAUGAGAUGUGCAUAUCAUGUUUGUGACUUCCUUUAUAUGUAAAUCAUAUGUGAGGUUUGUUCAUACAAUUAACCUUUUUGCAUUUUUUUUUUUUUGGUAAUGCGUCGGUUCUUUCUGUAAACCUUUUGUAAUGCCAGAAAGAGGUAAUAUACUUGAUUUCUACCAUGAAACUGAGUAUCUGUUCUGAUCAUAUAUGGGGUGUCAAUGGAGUUGUCAGUAUUGCCAUGAUUUUAAAA